rnacentral:rRNA from 1 species
GUAGGGCGGGACACGUGGUAUCCUGUCUGAAUAUGGGGGGACCAUCCUCCAAGGCUAAAUACUCCUGACUGACCGAUAGUGAACCAGUACCGUGAGGGAAAGGCGAAAAGAACCCCGGCGAGGGGAGUGAAAAAGAACCUGAAACCGUGUACGUACAAGCAGUGGGAGCCUCUUUAUGGGGUGACUGCGUACCUUUUGUAUAAUGGGUCAGCGACUUAUAUUCUGUAGCAAGGUUAACCGAAUAGGGGAGCCGAAGGGAAACCGAGUCUUAACUGGGCGUUAAGUUGCAGGGUAUAGACCCGAAACCCGGUGAUCUAGCCAUGGGCAGGUUGAAGGUUGGGUAACACUAACUGGAGGACCGAACCGACUAAUGUUGAAAAAUUAGCGGAUGACUUGUGGCUGGGGGUGAAAGGCCAAUCAAACCGGGAGAUAGCUGGUUCUCCCCGAAAGCUAUUUAGGUAGCGCCUCGUGAAUUCAUCUCCGGGGGUAGAGCACUGUUUCGGCAAGGGGGUCAUCCCGACUUACCAACCCGAUGCAAACUGCGAAUACCGGAGAAUGUUAUCACGGGAGACACACGGCGGGUGCUAACGUCCGUCGUGAAGAGGGAAACAACCCAGACCGCCAGCUAAGGUCCCAAAGUCAUGGUUAAGUGGGAAACGAUGUGGGAAGGCCCAGACAGCCAGGAUGUUGGCUUAGAAGCAGCCAUCAUUUAAAGAAAGCGUAAUAGCUCACUGGUCGAGUCGGCCUGCGCGGAAGAUGUAACGGGGCUAAACCAUGCACCGAAGCUGCGGCAGCGACACUAUGUGUUGUUGGGUAGGGGAGCGUUCUGUAAGCCUGUGAAGGUGGCCUGUGAGGGUUGCUGGAGGUAUCAGAAGUGCGAAUGCUGACAUAAGUAACGAUAAAGCGGGUGAAAAGCCCGCUCGCCGGAAGACCAAGGGUUCCUGUCCAACGUUAAUCGGGGCAGGGUGAGUCGACCCCUAAGGCGAGGCCGAAAGGCGUAGUCGAUGGGAAACAGGUUAAUAUUCCUGUACUUGGUGUUACUGCGAAGGGGGGACGGAGAAGGCUAUGUUGGCCGGGCGACGGUUGUCCCGGUUUAAGCGUGUAGGCUGGUUUUCCAGGCAAAUCCGGAAAACCAAGGCUGAGGCGUGAUGACGAGGCACUACGGUGCUGAAGCGACAAAUGCCCUGCUUCCAGGAAAAGCCUCUAAGCAUCAGGUAACAUCAAAUCGUACCCCAAACCGACACAGGUGGUCAGGUAGAGAAUACCAAGGCGCUUGAGAGAACUCGGGUGAAGGAACUAGGCAAAAUGGUGCCGUAACUUCGGGAGAAGGCACGCUGAUAUGUAGGUGAAGCGACUUG